rnacentral:rRNA from 1 species
CACUCCUGCGGGAGGCAGCAGUGGGGAAUUUUGGACAAUGGGCGAAAGCCUGAUCCAGCAAUGCCGCGUGUGUGAAGAAGGCCUUCGGGUUGUAAAGCACUUUUGUCCGGAAAGAAAUCCUUGGCUCUAAUACAGUCGGGGGAUGACGGUACCGGAAGAAUAAGCACCGGCUAACUACGUGCCAGCAGCCGCGGUAAUACGUAGGGUGCGAGCGUUAAUCGGAAUUACUGGGCGUAAAGCGUGCGCAGGCGGUUUGCUAAGACCGAUGUGAAAUCCCCGGGCUCAACCUGGGAACUGCAUUGGUGACUGGCAGGCUAGAGUAUGGCAGAGGGGGGUAGAAUUCCACGUGUAGCAGUGAAAUGCGUAGAGAUGUGGAGGAAUACCGAUGGCGAAGGCAGCCCCUUGGGCCAAUACUGACGCUCAUGCACGAAAGCGUGGGGAGCAAACAGGAUUAGAAACCCUUGUAGUCCCAUGA